GUUUGAGCUCAGCGGUAGAGCGCUUGCCUCACAUGUGCAAGGCCCUGGGUUAGAUUCUCAGCACCGCAUA
rnacentral:tRNA from 1 species